UACGUUCCCGGGCCUUGUACACACCGCCCGUCACACCACGAAAGUCGGCAACACCCGAAAGCCGGUGGCCUAACCCGCAAGGGAGGGAACCGUCGAAGGUGGGGUUGAUGAUUGGGGUG
rnacentral:rRNA from 1 species